CUGUCAUGCUGAGUACCUCUCACAUACACUAGUCAGAGCAUCCCGACAGCGAUUACUCCCUCUUAAUUCUUCCAUUUUUCUUCCAUCCAUCAUUUAUGACAACAUUGUCAAACGUGGUCCGAUGCGAUACAUUCACAUAAGAAAGACACAAGUGGCACUGCAGCUGCACAGUCACCACCUUAGUGGUGAUACUUGGCUUACUAACGUUAGCUAAUUGCCCUUGCUGCUGCUAUUGUUUGUUGUUGCAGGCGCUCAUCAAACAAAUCACAGAUGUUGUAGAGGAAGCUUUCGAGUGCUGGCCUGGCCGAGGGACGCCGUCCAGCCAGUCAGUGAGACCCGCCUAUGAUGACUGCAGACCCAGGCAGUUACAAAACUUCUUUCCUUCCAGAGUGUCGUUGUGUCAGUGCUUGUUGAGAGGCAGUGUGGCGGAGAGCUAGCAGGUGAAUGCAGUCAAGGUUAGUCAACAAGCACCGCAUGGUUUUAAGAGCAUUGGCUAACACAAUCCUUUUUCUUUUUUUCUUAUGUUUGUCCUCACCCUAAACACUCCUCUUUCUCUCUCACACGCACACGUACACACAUACACACGCACGUUUUCUUUCCCUCCCUCUUUGUUCAUCUUCACGCUGUCAAAGCCAUC
ensembl:lncRNA